rnacentral:rRNA from 1 species
CUGCUGCCUCCCGUAGGAGUUUGGGCCGUGUCUCAGUCCCAAUGUGGCCGUCCGCCCUCUCAGGCCGGCUACUGAUCGUCGCUUUGGUAGGCCGUUACCCUGCCAACUGGCUAAUCAGACGCGGGUCCAUCAUAUACCACCGGAGUUUUUCACACCGGGGCAUGCGCCCCUGUGCGCUUAUGCGGUAUUAGCACCUAUUUCUAAGUGUUAUCCCCCUGUAUAUGGCAGGUUACCCACGCGUUACUCACCCGUCCGCCACUAGGG